UCAUGUCACUCAGUCAUGCUGCCGCGUGAACUGAGUGACAUGAUAAUUGUGGGGAACUUCUUGUUCUUCUGCAAAUAUUAAUCCGCCGGCGGCUAUAAUGGCAGCUGGCUGUGAUAUAAAUGCGUGUUAUGUUGACAGUGUGUGUAAAAAUUAAUAUUGA
rnacentral:misc_RNA from 1 species